rnacentral:rRNA from 1 species
AGUUGCCAUCAGGUAAUGCUGGGCACGUCUAAGGAUACGUGCCGGUGACAACCGGAGGAAGUGGGAUGACGUCAAAUCAUCAUGCCCUUUAUGACCUGGGCUACACACGUGCUACAAUGGCCUAUACAAAGGGUUGCGAAGCUGUGAAGUGGAGCCCAAUCCCAAAAAGUAGGUCUCAGUUCGGAUUGUAGGCUGCAACUCGCCUACAUGAAGUCGGAAUCGCUAGUAAUCGCGGAUCAGCAUGCCGCGGUGAAUACGUUCCCGGGCCUU